UCGCCUACGGGACGCAGCAGUGGGGGAUAUUGCACAAUGGGGGGAACCCUGAUGCAGCGACGCCGCGUGGGUGAAGAAGCGCCUCGGCGCGUAAAGCCCUGUCAGCAGGGAAGAAAAUGACGGUACCUGAAGAAGAAGCCCCGGCUAACUACGUGCCAGCAGCCGCGGUAAUACGUAGGGGGCAAGCGUUAUCCGGAUUUACUGGGUGUAAAGGGGGCGCAGACGGCGAUGCAAGCCAGGAGUGAAAGCCUUGGGCUUAACCCGAGGAUUGCAUUUGGAACUAUCAAGCUAGAGUACAGGAGAGG
rnacentral:rRNA from 1 species